rnacentral:tRNA from 1 species
GCCCGGGUGGCGAAAUUGGUAGACGCAGUGGAUUCAAAAUCCACCGAUGGCAACAUCGUGUCGGUUCGAGUCCGACCCCGGGCA